UGUGGGAGCGAGCCUGCUCGCGAUAGCGGUGUGUCAGUCAACGUCAAAGCAUUUGAUCUGACGCUAUCGCGAGCAGGCUCGCUCCCACA
rnacentral:misc_RNA from 1 species